rnacentral:lncRNA from 1 species
AAAACAGAGACAUUCACUUGAGGCACAAUAUUGUACAAGGACUGAUCAGUAUCGGGGUUAUUUCUAUGGAAUUUGUGAGGUCUGAAAAGAACCUAGCGGAUCCGCUUACUAAGGGAUUGAGUAAAAAGGUAGUCCAAGAAGUAUUCAGAGGGAUGAGACUAUUGCCAAUAUUUUGAGUAAAUAAUAUGUGAUGGAAACCCUACCUAUGUGAUUGGAGAUCCCAUGUGUAAGACCC